rnacentral:rRNA from 1 species
AGACAACUGGCGUGUGCGCGAGUCAUUGGGUGUAAACCUAAAGGCGCAAUGAAAGUGUCAGGGGCGCCUCCUUCAGGAGAGCGCCCCGCUGGGAGGAUGGGCCCCCGUACGAUCACUCGUCGGAGCCCCGCACUCCCGGGGCGUCUCGUUCUCAUCACGAGUGGAGACGCACCAGGAGCGCACACGCUGGUACCCGAAAGAUGGUGAACUAUGCCUGGCCAGGACGAAGCCAGGGGAAACCCUGGUGGAGGUCCGAAGCGAUUCUGACGUGCAAAUCGAUCGUCUGAGCUGGGUAUAGGGGCGAAAGACCAAUCGAACCAUCUAGUAGCUGGUUCCCUCUGAAGUUUCCCUCAGGAUAGCUGGCUCUCGGGAAGAGACGAGUCUCAUCCGGUAGAGCGAAUGAUUAGAGGUGAUGGGGUCGAAACGACUUCAACCUAUUCUCAAACUCCCAAUAGAUGAGAGCCCAGGCUUGCUUAAAAGUGAAGCCGCGGGACUCGGAUCAGAGAUGCCAAGUGGGCCAAUUUUGGUAAGCAGAACUGGCGCUGUGGGAUGAACCAAACGCAGAGUUAAGGCGCCUGAUUCGACGCUCACGUGAAACCAUGAAAGGCGUUGGUUGCUUAAGACAGCAGGACGGUGGCCAUGGAAGUCGGAAUCCGUGGGGGGGGGGGGGGGAAAAAUUCCCCCGGGGGGGUGUUGUUGUUUUUGGCGUUUUNARA